ensembl:lncRNA
CGUUAAUCUCACCCCACCCUGGAACGCUUAUUUUGUUGCGUCUACAGACUAGACCCCUCGGUCAUCCGUCGACGGACGGAGGUAGUGUGAAUGCGCCCUGGCCUGAAUACGCGCGGACCAUGGACCUCUAAAGACCGUUUGGAAUGCGCCCGGACCGUUUUGAGUACACCAUCCGGGUCCUUUCAGUGCACUGCUUUCCCCGAUCGUAAUUGGAACGCCCUAAUCAAACUAAUCUGUUUGUGUUGCAAUGGCCAUGAGACAUACCAUUGACCGCCAGCAUCCCAGCUACAAAGAGGGGAAAUGUAAAUUGCUUGAAAGUAAACAAGACCACCUUAUAGCUGAAGCUGAGAGAGCCGUUGAGGAGAGGAAACGUGCGCGUUCUGGUGGAGGACCUCCAUGUGGCUCCACUAGUGACGGUGCAAGACGAGGCAAGCCGAGGGGGAGGCGUGGAGGGCGACGCGGAGGGCGACGCAAAGCCUCAGCCACAGUCACGUUCCCCCCAGCUGAGUGCUCCCCGUCAUCCCAUGAGGACGUUCCGCUUACUGUACCUUCAGCGCAACUGAAUCCUCAAGAGGCAUUUGAAAAGUUUGUGGAGAGGCUUUCAUCUCUAAAUGCCUCUGGUCCUUCUGCCAAGCCUCAAAGAAGCUCUGCAUCUUCAUGGACUUUUCGGCAGCAGAAAGCCUCAGAGCGCUGGACAGAAGCACGACCAAACCACCUACAAGGCCUCAUUGAAAAGGAGGCUGUUGGUCAUCCCUUGUGUUGCCUCUGCCCCAAGCCGGCUGUUAUUAGGUGCAGAGAGUGUCUCCCUGAAGAGUGGUUCUGUGGGGACUGCGAUGUACUGCAUCACAAAAAACAGCCACUCCACAACAGGGAAUGUCUGACACGUGGGUUCUUUGAACCCAUUCCUCCAACCACACGCGUCAUGAAAGGGGAGGAUGGAUAUUUCACUCAGGAGCAAGCUUGCAUCUUGCCAACUGUGAGUGUGUCAAACUGCGUCUGCGAUGGCACAACCUUCACUGUGUUACCAGGCAAACCAGUGAUUUUAAUUAACAUCAAUGGUAAAAACAAUUCACUAUUUAAAUUUAUAUUUGAAGAUGAUUUCCAGAAAUAAAAUCACACAUCAAGAUAUUGGGGGUCUUUCAAAAUGUGUUUUAAGCAUGUUUUUUUCUUUCUUGCUCUAAGGACGUUAUGACUUGCAUCAGCCACUGUAUGUAUGUCAGACGUGCCAGCAGCAGAGGACCCCUGACAUGAAGCACUUCCUUCAGAGUGGAUAUUGGCCAGCCUCUCUCAAUACUUCCACGUUGUACACGUUGGACCUCUUGAGCUCCUUUCAGGAACUGAAAGUAAUCUCUCCGGGAUUCUCCAGACAGGCCUUCGCAAAGCUCCUGGAGCAUCGCACCAAGUGUGGAGGACGAUCUGGACAUAUCAAAGGUGACACCCUGCAGCGCAGCUUCUUGGAGUUUUCAUAUGCUUCGUUUGAGAAGGACCAACUCUGCUGUGGUGCUGUUCUCACCUGCCCAGCCUGCACACCAGAAAUGUUGGCUGUUUCAGUAGAUGGAAACAGAAAGUUAUAUCGCUUUCGCCGAAAUGGAAGUUCUGGUGACCAUGCCUUUUUUGAAGGUUUAUUUGUGGCUGAAGACAGUGCAGUGUCUGGAUUUGUGGACAUGAUCCAGAAAGCUGUGAAAAAGACACAGGGAAGAGGCACGUGUGGGGACUCCCAAUGGACAGCAGCACGGGAGACAUCAAGAAGGGCAUCCAAAUUGGAUGAAGAGGGCAUGGAGGUUGCUGUGUGUCGCCAUGGUUUCCUUCUUAAAGCCCUUAAUAUGUACAGGGAGAAAUAUUUGCCUACCCCAUGUACCUUCAAAAGGAGCUGAUGCCAGCCAAGGCA